CCCCUAGAUGUUCUGGGCCGCACGCGCGCUACACUGAACAGUUCAACAAGUCUUAACCUUGGCCGAUAGGUCUGGGUAAUCUUUUAAAUGUGCAUCGUGCUAGGGAUAGAUUAUUGCAAUUAUUAAUCUUGAACGAGGAAUUCCUAGUAAACGCAAGUCAUCAGCUUGCAUUGAUUACGUCCCUGCCCUUUGUACACACCGCCCGUCGCACCUACUGAUUGGAUGACUCGGUGAAAAAUUGGGACUGUGAAGAACACUGCUUAAUUGCGGCGUUUUUUAUGGGAACUUUUUUAAACCUCGUUAUCUAGAAGAAGGUGAAGUCGUAACA
rnacentral:rRNA from 1 species